ACAAACCGUGAACUCAAAUUAGUGAAAGGAACUGAGAAAAACUCUUGCUGCUACCGCUCGGGAACGUUCUUCCUUCACAGAUCGGUUCUUCUCGUGUUUGUCUUACGUCCUCACUCUUCCUUUCUCAAUGUCAAAGUAGGGUGACCUGCAGAAAACACUCCGACGCUCAAGUCAGAAUUUAUCUUUGCAAAUCUAGUAGAAGUUAAUCAAAAUCAGAGAGUUUACCUUUUAAUGACGAUCAAUGUUCACCUUAACUGUUCGACAAUGACCUUACAUAAUUAAUUACGUAUUCAUGGACAUUCAAAAACUGUCUCCAGCCAACGGCUAGAGUGUUCGCGAGUACUAUCCUGGCGUUCGACUGGGAAUGAUCAGCUUCCAUCACCCUUACGUGCCCGGUCGGUCUGAUUGGACAAUCGGUCCACUUACUCGGUAUUGACUAAACAUGUCUAGUCGGUCGAUCCUAUUUGGUAGUAACAAAAAUAAAUCAGAUUAAAUUUUUAAUUCAA
rnacentral:sRNA from 1 species